CUAACCUUCGUGAUCUAUAAAAGACUACUUCCGCCAUUUUUGCGAAUUUCAUCCAUAUAUUUGUGCAUAUUUUUGUUAGUUUAAAAAGCCACACUUUUGUCGCCUUAUCGCCUCGUUGCCGCCUCGCUGUCGCUUUUCAGAAAAUGCUAUGCCUCAGACGAAAACAACGUCAAGCCUUCGCUUCGCAUCGCCUUACGCUGUUAGCGUUGAGGCGAGCACUAUUUACAACACUGUUGCACACACUUAUUUAGUUUUAGUUUUUCCUUUUUUUGUUCGAUUAAGGGAAUUUCAUUAAAUGACAUUAAGAAAAUGCAUAGCAAAAAUUACAACAGAAAGUAGUGUCUACUCAUAUACCAAUACUUUAUGGACAACUAAGGAGCAGAUAGGAUUCAGGAAAAGUUAAACACUUGUUACAGGGGCCUUGUUGACCCAACUAAAUAAAUUAUUAAUUAUAGAAGUGGCUUUAACAACAACCUUCAGGGGUUGGUCUGGUGGCAAUUGAUUUGAGCUUUGGGGUUUGCUCCCUUUCAAGCUCUCAAGUUCGAAACCCACUGGGUGCAAACGAUUCUGAGGCCAUUGGAUUGGGCAAAACCUGAAUUAACACAUGCGGAAAACUCCUUGCCGAGGACCUGUGCAAUCCUGGGAUUAACCGGGGCUCUUAGAGACUCGGACACCCGGUGCAAAUAAAAAAAAAAAAGAAGUGACUUUAAGAGCAUGGUUAUGAGUUUAAAUCCCAUUAAAAUAUUUAUGAUUCCUUUCAUUCCAAAUACUCUGCAAAUAACGCCAAGCACUAUUUGCCAAGUUUUUUUUGAUUGAUUUCCCAAACUCUUCCAGAGCACCAGCUCUCAUAAGCUUCCUUUGUACUGUUGACAUGACCCAAGCUAUUCCUAAAAUUGAAAACAAUGCUCCAAAUGUCAGCUGCUAGUGAACACUGCAGAAAAUGCCUCACACUGUAUAACAUCUAUUCAUGGUGCAUACUCCUGUAUAACAUUUGGCACAUAUAACAUCUAUUCAUGGUGCAUACUCCGGCUAAGAUUGUCUUGAGUAAGACA
rnacentral:lncRNA from 1 species